GGAUUAGAUACCCUGGUAGUCCACGCCGUAAACGAUGAGUGCUAGAUAUCGGGAAAUUUAUUUUUCGGUUUCGCAGCUAACGCAUUAAGCACUCCGCCUGGGGAGUACGAUCGCAAGAUUAAAACUCAAAGGAAUUGACGGGGGCUCGCACAAGCGGUGGAGCAUGCGGUUUAAUUCGAUGCUACGCGAAAAACCUUACCAACCCUUGACAUGGUGGUCGCGGAUCACAGAGAUGAGAUCCUUCAGUUCGGCUGGACCACACACAGGUGUUGCAUGGCUGUCGUCAGCUCGUGCCG
rnacentral:rRNA from 1 species